rnacentral:tRNA from 1 species
GUAAUAUAAGCUAAAAUAAGCUAGUGGGUUCAUACCCCAAAAAUGAGUUGCCUCUUUUACUA